UAAAUUGAGAGUUUGAUCCUGGCUCAGGACGAACGCUGGCGGCGUGCUUAACACAUGCAAGUCGAGCGAGCAGAUUCCCUUCGGGGAUGAAGCUAGCGGCGGACGGGUGAGUAACACGUGGGCAACCUGCCUUAUAGAGGGGGAUAGCCUUCCGAAAGGAAGAUUAAUACCGCAUAACAUCAGAUUAUCGCAUGGUAGACUGAUCAAAGGAGCAAUCCGCUAUAAGAUGG
rfam:Clostridium cavendishii DSM 21758 genome assembly, contig: EJ30DRAFT_scaffold00025.25